rnacentral:pre_miRNA from 1 species
AACCCGUAGAUCCGAACUUGUGGGGCUAUUAAAGCACAAGCUCGGAUCUGCAGGCAUC